rnacentral:rRNA from 1 species
UACGUAGGGGGCUAGCGUUGUCCGGAAUCAUUGGGCGUAAAGAGCGUGUAGGCGGUCCGGUAAGUCCGCUGUGAAAGUCGGGGGCUCAACCCUCGAAUGCCGGUGGAUACUGUCGGGCUAGAGUGCGGAAGAGGCGAGUGGAAUUCCUGGUGUAGCGGUGAAAUGCGCAGAUAUCAGGAGGAACACCUAGUGCGAAGGCAGCUCGCUGGGACGUUACUGACGCUGAGACGCGAAAGCGUGGGGAGCAAACAGG